ensembl:lincRNA
GCUGUUUGUGGGAGAGCUCAUGGUGGCAGGGUGACUGGGGUCCUCUGCCCUCCUCUGUGUGUGCACUCAUGGCUUUCUCGAGGCAGUCUGUGGGUAAAAGCUGAGACGCUGCUGAGCGACGGUGUCUGUGCAGAGAGCUGAGGCGACGGGCCACGGCUUGCCCCGGGGAAUGGGUUCCCUCCCCUUGCCCUGCUUCCUUCCUGCUUUGUGGAAUGGGAUUGUCACAGCACCGCCCUCGGGACGACGCUGGAAGGAUUGAAUGAGACAAAGCACAUCCAGGGAUGAACAUCAUAGGAGCCCAAGACAUGUCAGCACUUGUUAGGGUCAUUAUAACUAGAGGUGCCCAGUGCCAAAGCCAGAAGGUUCUCACCAAAGAGGCAGAGACUUGGGCAGACAUGUGGUUUACAUGCUCACCAUCACGACACCACACAAUUGUCCCCAGUUCCUCAGACUUCAGACCUGGGAUGAGGAGUGCAGAGAUAUAUAAGGAAGGGUGUUCAUUUCAGCAAAGGCCUGGAACUAACUGAAAUGUCCAUUAAGAGGGGAACAGUGGUUCAUCCGGACAAUGGAAUCAUAGUGGAUAAACAGAAACUAGUGACAUGAAAAUGCACCAAUCUGGAAAAAUCUCCAAGACAGACUGCUAAGCAGAAAAAUUAAUAAUAAAGCAGCAUGACUGGCAUGAUUCCACUCUGUAAGAAAAUGCAUGACUAUGUUUGAACCAGUGUACAUCCACACAGCUCCGCCUCCGUAAUCUUGGGAAAAGGAUACGAAAGAUUCAUAUGCUAUGUUUGGAGGCUUUUACUUCUUCAUUCAUGUACUUGACAAAAAAGCUAUGGGAGUAUGGGUAUUUAGCCUUAGCCUUUCUGUUUUCUUUUCAGUAUAAAAUCUGCAAUAGCUAAGAAUUAUGGUAGAUGUGUAUACAUAAAUAUGGAAAGAUUUCCACACUACUAAAAAAAGGCACAUCAGAGAAAAAUGUAUAUGGCUUGGCACUAUUUCUGUAAAGUAAAUCCUAC